rnacentral:rRNA from 1 species
GAGUUUGAUCCUGGCUCAGGAUGAACGCUGGCGGCGUGCUUAACACAUGCAAGUCGAACGAAGCAUUCCGGAUUGAGAUUUCGGUUGAUUGAAGGGAUGACUUAGUGGCGGACGGGUGAGUAACGCGUGGGUAACCUGCCGUAUGCAGGGGGACAACAGCUGGAAACGGCUGCUAAUACCGCAUAAGCGCACAGCAUCGCAUGAUGCAGUGUGAAAAGCCUUGACGGCAUACGAUGGACCCGCGUCUGAUUAGGUAGUUGGUGAGGUAACGGCCCCACCAAGCCGACGAUCAGUAGCCGACCUGAGAGGGU